CAAUAGCGUAUUUUAAAGUUGUUGCGGUUAAAACGUUCGUAGUCGUAUUUCUGCUUCGGGUGUUUCCUUUCCAAAGGGGACAUUCGAGCAUUAGUGUGGGCGGUUUUCGUCACUUAACUGUGCCGAUGCAUAAACCCGCACUGAUUAUUUUGAGGAAAUGAGAGUGUUUCAAGCAAGCAUCCGCCAUGAAUACGUUAGCAUGGAAUAAUAGCAUCGGACCUCGAUCUGAAGCUGUUGGUUUCUCGGGUCGAGGUAAAGGUGAAUAGGGAUUGUUGGGGGCAUUCGUAUUUAACUGUCAGAGGUGAAAUUCUUGGAUUUGUUGAAGACGGACUACUGCGAAAGCAUCUGCCAAAGAUGUUCUCAUUGAUCAAGAACGAAAGUUAGGGGAUCAAAGACGAUCAGAUACCAU
rnacentral:rRNA from 1 species